GCAGAUGCAGUGAUACUGCAGUGAUUGCAGUGCGCCUGUAGUGCCACUUCAGCUGGAUCCAGAGUGCCUGCAGGGGUUGGAGUGCCUGUUGCAGUGUCCCUGAACUUGGCUGCAGUGCCGAUGCCAUGGUUGCAGUGUCACUGAAGGUAGAUGCAGUAUGUUGUGAUGGAGGAUGCAGUGCCCAUGAAGGUGGAUGCAGUGAUCCUGCAGUGGUUGCAGUGCCCCCUGCAAGGUGCCUGAAUGAGAAUGCCAUGCCCUUGCAGUGGAUGCAGUGUCGCUGAAGGUAGAUGCAGUAUGUUAUCAUGGAUGAUGCAUUGCCCAUUAAGGAGGAUGCAGUGAUUUUGCAGUGAUUGCAGUGCACAUGCAGUGACAAUUCAGCUGGCUGCAGUGUGCCUGCAGUGGUUGCAGUGCCCCCUCUGUAUCUCUGAAUACGAAUGCAGUGCCCAUGAAGUGGAUGUAGAGUACCAAAAGAUGGAUGUGAUAUGUUGUGGCAGAGAAUGCAGUGCCCAUGACAUGGCAUGCAGUGUUCCUGCACUGGUUGUUGUGCCACCUUCUGUGUCCCUGAUUGUGGAUACAGUGUCCCUGCAGUGGUUGCAGUGUUGCCAGCAUUGUCCAGGAAUGCAGAUGCAAUGACAAGGCAGUGGAUGCUGUGUCACACAAGUUGGAUGCAGUAUGUUGUGACAUAGGAUGCAGUGCCCAUGAAGGUGGAUGCAGUGAUCCAGCAGUGGUUUCCGUGCACACUGUAGUGUCCCUAAAUGUGCAUGCAGUGAACAUGAAUUGGAUGCUGUGAACAUUCAGUGAUUGCAGUGCACCUGCCAUGCCACUUCAGCUGCAUACACUGUGCCUGCAGUGGUUGCAGUGCUGCCUGCAUUGUCCGGGAAUGUGGAUGCAGUGCCCAGGCAGUGUAUGCAGUGUCACACAAGUGGAUGGAGUGUCCCUGUAGUUUUUGCAGUGCCCCCUGUAUUAUCACUGAAUGUGGAUGCAGUGCCCUUGCAGUGGAUUCAGUGACCCAAAUGGUGGAUGCAUUAUCUUAUGACAGAAGAUGCAUUGCCGAUGAAGGAGGAUGCAGUGAUUCUGCAGUGAUUUCAGUGCACCUGCAGUGCCACUUCAGCUGGCUGCAGUAUGCCUGCAGUGGUUGCAGUGCUCCCAUUCUGAGUCUCUGAAUACUAAUGCAGUGCGCAUAUAGUGGAUGCAGAGUACCAAAAGAUGGAUGUGGAAUUUUGUGACAGAGG
rnacentral:lncRNA from 1 species